UACGGAGGGUGCAAGCGGUGUCCGGAGUCACUGGGUUUAAAGGGUGCGUAGGCGGCUCUGUAAGUCAAGGGUGAAAGCCCACAGCUUAACUGCGGGACUGCGUUUGAUACUGCAGAGCUUGAAAGAAGCUCAGGUCAGCGGAACGUGACAUGUAGCGGUGAAAUGCAUAGAUAUGUCCCAGAACACCAAUUGCGAAGGCAGCAGGCUGGGCCUACAUUGACGCUGAGGCACGAAAGCGAGGGGAGCGUACGGG
rnacentral:rRNA from 1 species